CUCCGAGCUCAUCCCUGCUCGCCAGCUAUGAGCCUGGUGGAAGCACACUUUCAUCCUGAAUCCUUACCCUCCUCCCGUGGGGCAGCUGAUGCUCUUGCGACACAUCCUAAACUCAAGAACUGAGCAUCAGUGGAUCACGUUACAGGCAUCUGAGAAACACUAGGAUUACAGAAUUCUAAAACUGGAAGAGACUACAGAAAUCAUUACACAGUCACUUUCCAGACGAGGAAAUAAAGGCUAAAGGCUUAGCCAGGAUCCUGAAUUGUGGGAAGGCAAACCCUGCCAAAACUGAGGAACCCAAGCUGGAGGCAGCGAGGCUCCACCACUCAGACUACGGCGACGUGCCAAGACUGCAAGGCCAAAUCGGAAACAGCCACAUUGAGCUCAUUAAAACGACUGAAUGAUCAAAGGCGUGCAAGCCUUCACAAAGGCAAAAAUUAAUCUGUUUAAUACUUGGCUAAAUUCUCAACUGUUGAAGUAAAUUUGAAACGAAAUUCAUCAAACUCCCCCCUUUCCUGUGGAAAAAUCCUUUGAGUUCCUCAGAGUGUCCAGGAGGUGGCAGAAGCGUUCUUUGUUUUCAGCUUAGGGGACACAGCUACAGCUCCACCCCCAAAAUUAACGUAAGUAUAUGAGGUAGAAUUAUAUAUAUGAAUGUAAAUACACAUUUUCAGGAGAUCAACAAUUAUAUUCAAACGUGGAUAAGCCAAAGCUCACUUGGCAAUCACUUUUUGAGGGAAGAAAUGAUAAGAAUUCAAAAAUGAAUCUUGGCUGUCGAUGAAAAAGGCUGAUGGAAGAAAGAACUACAGCUCAAGUUGUACCCUAUUCGUGGACUUCCCAGGGCUUCCAUGACCCUCCAUUCUUGCAGCACACCUAUGCUUCUUUUUCCUUCCCUUCAUUACUCCUGAAAGAUUUCACACUCAUUCCUGAGUCGUCAGUGACCGGUGGCCUCCCUACAAAGCUGAAGGAGCUAGAAAACAUUCAGGAACAUUCUCUGCUGCAAGGACUCCUAACCUCCCCUCAGCCUGCCUCCUCUGCCAGGUCAACCUCCAUAACCUGAGGUGUAUCCACCACCCUAAACAUUAUGAAUAUUGAUUCCUGAUGGACAAACGGAAGCUGGUGUAGGAUCUCAAAUUCCUAAAUUUCCUGGGAGGACAACAUGUGAAAUAUUAAUACAGUCUAUCGUGGGAAACAAAACUCAUUAAAAUACAUAGACAUUCACAAAAAGUCACUGUUUAUUUCAUGAAGCAAAAACAUUUAUUCCAACCAGAUCAAGGGAAGAAAAAAAAUGUUUUCUAUAGCUCCAAUUUCACACACUCUAGUACGAAAUGAAUCAAUAGUAGCUAGGAGGAGCGAAAUCAAAGAUUUCCUUUUCAACAGUAAUAAAUCCAGUCAAACCCUAUUCGGUAUGGCACUUGACAUGGCUUGUAAAAUCUGAAGUUACUAAAUUAUGUAUUGCAAUAGUAAUCUGUUACACAAUUAAUAGGAAGUGCUAAAUUAGGACAAAUGGUUUCCAAUGGGAUCCAGAUGGUUAACCCUAGACUAGGUAGAAAGGGUGUAAAAUUAAGAACUGCACUGAUUUUUUUUCCUUGAGUUUCUUGAAGGAACCAGAGUUCUUCAAACAUGGAAUGUAAACACUUGGGAAGGUAGCCUAAGAGAAGCAUGUGUUAUGUAGCAGCCUGAGUCCCAGCUGUGUUUAUACUAGGAUUCCAAAAUAUCUGGGCCUGGAAGGAGAACUGGCAGGAGGGACAGAGAGGCGUGCUGGGACAGACUGACCCCAAGGGGAAAGAAAGAAGCUGGUUCAAGACAAAUGGGGGUGUUGUGAUUGUUGACAGAGCACAGUGCCUGUCACUCAGCUUACCUUACAGCCCCCCUCCCAAGACUCACAUCUGAUUCCCCAGAGGAUGGAGAAGACCCUGAAACAUGUUGACAUUAUUGACCCCCUUCGCAGUAGGGCUGCGUUGAUGGUGGUGGCAACAAUAAGGGCAGCAAUGGCCUUGGGCAGUGUCAGGGCUGACACCACCACCCUUAGCCUUGAGGAUUGGCAGUACCCACAGAGAACACAGUGCUUUAGCAGGUGGGAAGAUAUCUGUGGUACCACAGCUGCUUUUGUCAUUGGUGGGAAAGAGGAAACAGCAGCAAGUGAAGCCACAUUCCAGUGACCCAGUGUAGGAAGGAAAAAAACAACAAACCUCAUGUUGUAACCAAGAGACUAGUUCUCAGAGAACUGGUUGUGGUAGGCUGAAGAGUGACCCACUAAAGAUGUCCGUGACCUCAUCCCCAGAACCUGUGAAUACAUUACCUUACAUGGCAGAAGGGACCCAGCAGAUGGGAUUUUAAGUAAAAGAUCUUGAGAUGGGAAGAUUAUUCUGGAUUGUUUGGGUGGGUCAAUGUAACCACAAGGGUACUUACAAGGGGAAGGCAUGAGAGCUGUAAUCAAAAAAGGAGAUGUGACAACAGAAACAGAGAUCACACAGAGAGACCUGAGGGUGCUUCACUUCUGGCUUUGAAGAUAGAGAAUAGGGUCCCCAAGCCAAGGAAUGCAGGUGGCCUUUACAAAGUAGGGAAAGGCAAGGAAAUGGGUUCUCCCCUAGAGCUCUGCCAACUU